AACCUUUACAACAAAUCCAACUGUGAAAUCUGUAUUCAACUUCAUUCCCCUUCAUUCCCCUAAUAUCAUUUGUUUUCAAGAAGUUACUCUGAUGAUUUAUGACCUUUUUCGUGGGUCUAACUGGUGGAAAGGGUACCGGUGCUCUAUCUCGGACGACACGGUGAGUUUGAGAGCUUACUUUUGUAUGCAGGUAUGUUUUGAUUGCCAUAAUUUUGUGAAGCUUUUUAUGCAAAUGUGUAUACUUACUAUAUUGUUUUGCAGUUAAGCAAAUUGCCUGUGAAAUCCUUAACAGUCUGAAACAUAUUGCAUUGAUGGAGGCCAAGAUGAAAAAACUCUCUGAUUUACUGAGUAAGAAUUUAGAAGGGAUUGAGGAAGCAGCAAGCAAUGGCCCCAAAAGACGGAGAAAGCAUUUCUCAAACACCCCAAGGUGUUUUUAAGGUGAACUAGCUUCUUCUAUGUCUUUAUUAAUUCUUGGUUUUGUUGAUUUCAUUUUUAAAUUAUUGGUGUUUUUCGAGAUCUGGGUUAAAUUAGUGAUGGUUUUUUUUUCUGUUUAGAUCUUGCAUUAAUAUGAAAUUUGAUUUGGUAUUUUGGCGGCUUGAAUUUUCAAUUCAAAAUAUCUGUUUUCUUAAUGUAAAUUUUGUGAUACUUGCACUUGGAUCUGCAAUUAUUUUUCCUCCCUGCUAAAUUAUGAUCCAUCUGUUACAAAUCUGUUUUGCAUUGUUCAUCAAAUAACAUGCACAAAUAAUAUUAUUUGUAUAUAUUUUGAGGAAAAUUAUAAUAUUAUUAUAUAUAAUCAAUGCAAAAUUUUUAAGGCACCUUAUUAAGUACGAAAUUUAUAGGCACGAAACUAAGAAUGGUUAAAGCUUCUACAAACUUUUUUGUUGUCAACAUGGCGACUUUAGCUUUCUCAGCAUCAAUAAUUACUGAACUGUUAACCUUAAUCUCCUCAAAAUCACAUUCCUUAGCAAGCUUCAUAACUAGCUUAACGACACACUAAUCUCUUAAAAGCAAAGAAUUUAAUUGAAGUUCAUAUUUUUGCAAGUUAAAUUUAGUAGAGUCUGUCGUCAUUCAUUGUGUGGUUAUUUGUGUUUUUCGGCCACUGUAUGUUGUUCUUGCUUUUUCCUUUUGCGGUGCUUUGUCGCACAGCACUUGGGCUACAUAUCCCCACGAGUUUGAAGACUUUGCUACUGGUCUGCUUAAAAUUCUGUGGAAGGCAAAUUUCUCUUAUAAAUUAUGAAAUUGUUCUAAAAGAAAAGAAAGAAGCUUAAAAUGUGAAAAAAAAACUCAUCAAACUAUUCCUUUUUGAACAUUAAAUACCUCUGCUAGUAAUUUUGGGUACUGCUUCUUUGCUUGCAAUCAUACCUUGUUUAUUUCUAUUCCAAUUAGAUUACAUUAAUAUGAGCAUGCUUUAUCUGUUGACACCUUUCAUAAACUAGUUUCUGCGCAAAUCAC